ACUGAGCUCUGUAUGCAACACCCAUGGAGGAGGAGGGAAAGGGGCUCUGCUCUGGCUCCUCCUCCAGUAUAAAGCUCCUCCCAGGACCAAAUCUGCAUCAAGGCCCAGGGAAGGUACCCCAGAGACAGAUGGUGACUGAGUUCAGAGCAACUGCCUUAUGACAACCCUCAGCAAAAGCAGCAAGCAAACGGCACAGCUGGACCAAAAUAAUCCUGCUGGCUACGCAGUGCUGUCGUGGAGUACCAGCAGGUUUGCAACCCCUCUCCACUCACCUGCUGUCAAACUCCGUCACGUUGUGCAGCUCUUUCCGGCUGUUUCCCGCUGUGGUUCCCCUCUGCUGGUGACAGCCGAGGCAAAAUCCCAAGGCACAUCAGGGACAUAGGCAUCAGUCAGCAUGUCAGCCGGGAGGAAGCCUCGAGGCUGGCUGCUCCAUGGAGGAAGGUGAGCAGAGGGUGACGGAAGGCAGGCACGGGGCAGUGACGACAUUGGCAGAGGCACAGCCCCACGAUACCCAACCAAGAGGAACAGCUCAGGUCUGG